UGCUCUUGGGAAAAUGGUGUUGAUAGACU
rnacentral:piRNA from 1 species